rnacentral:rRNA from 1 species
GAUGAACGCUGGCGGCGUGCCUAAUACAUGCAAGUCGAGCGAACAGACGAGGAGCUUGCUCCUCUGACGUUAGCGGCGGACGGGUGAGUAACACGUGGAUAACCUACCUAUAAGACUGGGAUAACUUCGGGAAACCGGAGCUAAUACCGGAUAAUAUAUUGAACCGCAUGGUUCAAUAGUGAAAGACGGUUUUGCUGUCACUUAUAGAUGGAUCUGCGCCGCAUUAGCUAGUUGGUAAGGUAACGGCUUACCAAGGCAAUGAUGCGUAGCCGACCUGAGAGGGUGAUCGGCCACACUGGAACUGAGACACGGUCCAGACUCCUACGGGAGGCAGCAGUAGGGAAUCUUCCGCAAUGGGCGAAAGCCUGACGGAGCAACGCCGCGUGAGUGAUGAAGGUCUUCGGAUCGUAAAACUCUGUUAUUAGGGAAGAACAAAUGUGUAAGUAACUAUGCACGUCUUGACGGUACCUAAUCAGAAAGCCACGGCUAACUACGUG